CCUACGGGAGGCAGCAGUCGAGAAUCAUUCACAAUGGGGGAGACCCUGAUGGUGCGACGCCGCGUGGGGGAAUGAAGGUCUUCGGAUUGUAAACCCCUGUCAUGUGGGAGCAAAUUAAAAAGUUAGUACCACAAGAGGAAGUGACGGCUAACUCUGGGCCGACAGCCGCGGUAAUAAAGAGGGCUCAAGCGUUGUUCGUAAUCACUGGGAGUAGAGCGUGCGUAGGCUGUGUCGUAAGUCGCGUGGGAAAGGGGCGGGCUGAACCCGCGGACGGCACAUGAUACUGCGAGACUGGAGUAGUGGAGGGGGAAGCGGAAUUCGCGGUGUAGCAGUGAAAUGCGUAGAUAUCGCGAGGAACACUGGUGGCGAAGGCGGGUUCCCGGACAUUAACUGACGCUGAGGCACGAAGGCCAGGGGAGCGAAAGGGAUUAGAUACCCGGGUAGUC
rnacentral:rRNA from 1 species